rnacentral:lncRNA from 10 species
UUAUAGCGAAGGACUCUCGCCAUGUUGCCCAGACUCAUCUCAAACUACUGGACCCAGACAAUCCUCACACUUUGGCCUCCCAAAAUGCUGAGAUUACAGCUUACCUAAAGUUAACAUCUGAUGACAUGAUCGCAACUCCAUAUCCUGAGUUGAUUUCAACCUAUGAUGUUGGAAUUUUCCACAUGGAGAUAAACACUGGGAAGCAGCUAAUCAUUCUCUCUGGAUUUAUAAGGAACAAAUGGAUAAGUGAAACUUGAAAACAAUGGCCAAAGUACUAAGAACUAAUGUUUCUUCAACAAAACAAAUACUUUUACUUUAAGAACAGAAGAUAAAAGGCCAAAGUUGUAAUAUAAGACAAAUUACGGAAAUAUACACUUAUACAUAUAAAACCACUCCUCUUUUUAAAAAAUCAUGCUUUUUAAGAAGAAUCUUCUCAUAUCAGUGAGAAAGAAAGUUAUCUUAACAAACAAAAAGUAUUUUGAAAAAAAGCGUUCACAUGUAUAAGAAAGAAAAUGAACAAAUAAAUAGGAAAAAAGAUCUCUGGUUCAACCAUAUCAAAGCUUCUUCAUGUUUGUUAUUUUACUCUAAAGGACACCUCCCUGAUCUUGAACUGAUAAUACAGUUAAAAGAAUUAACAGAAAGAGAGAGGGAUAGAAAUGGUCACGUACAGAAUGAAAAAUAAAGGAAAUUUUUUUCUUA